rnacentral:rRNA from 1 species
UACGAAGGGGGCUAGCGUUGCUCGGAAUCACUGGGCGUAAAGCGCACGUAGGCGGAUUUUUAAGUCAGGGGUGAAAUCCUGGAGCUCAACUCCAGAACUGCCUUUGAUACUGGGAAUCUCGAGUCCGGGAGAGGUGAGUGGAACUGCGAGUGUAGAGGUGAAAUUCGUAGAUAUUCGCAAGAACACCAGUGGCGAAGGCGGCUGAUCUGGACGGUUACUGACGCUAAGACGCGAAAGCGUGGGGAGCGAACGAGGA